rnacentral:misc_RNA from 1 species
GUGAAUCAUCGAAUCUUUGAACGCAAAUUGCGAUUCCUGGCAUUCCGGGAAGUAUGCCUGUUUGAGGGUCAGUUUUAAUAAAAAAUCGGUUUUGUUACAAUUUGUGACGUUUCCGGUGGUUGGGCUCUCUUAACCUUUUAGGCUAAAAGGCUUAAAAUUGACCUUUUUUGCGCAUUUUCAAACGUAAAUAAAUUUUUUUUAUC